UGGGGAAUUUUGGACAAUGGGCGAAAGCCUGAUCCAGCAAUGCCGCGUGUGUGAAGAAGGCCUUCGGGUUGUAAAGCACUUUUGUCCGGAAAGAAAUCCUUGGCUCUAAUACAGUCGGGGGAUGACGGUACCGGAAGAAUAAGCACCGGCUAACUACGUGCCAGCAGCCGCGGUAAUACGUAGGGUGCAAGCGUUAAUCGGAAUUACUGGGCGUAAAGCGUGCGCAGGCGGUUUACUAAGACCGAUGUGAAAUCCCCGGGCUCAACCUGGGAACUGCAUUGGUGACUGGCAGGCUAGAGUAUGGCAGAGGGGGGUAGAAUUCCACGUGUAGCAGUGAAAUGCGUAGAGAUGUGGAGGAAUACCGAUGGCGAAGGCAGCCCCCUGGGCCAAUACUGACGCUCAUGCACGAAAGCGUGGGGAGCAAACAGGAUUAGAUACCCUGGUAGUCCACGCCCUAAACGAUGUCAACUAGUUGUUGGGGAUUCAUUUCCUUAGUAACGUAGCUAACGCGUGAAGUUGACCGCCUGGGGAGUACGGUCGCAAGAUUAAAACUCAAAUGAAUUGACGGGGUCAUAGCUGUUUCCU
rnacentral:rRNA from 1 species